rnacentral:rRNA from 1 species
UACGGAGGGGACUAGCGUUGUUCGGAAUUACUGGGCGUAAAGCGCACGUAGGCGGAUUUGUAAGUCAGGGGUGAAAUCCCGGGGCUCAACCUCGGAACUGCCUUUGAUACUGCAAAUCUCGAGUCCGGAAGAGGUGAGUGGAAUUCCUAGUGUAGAGGUGAAAUUCGUAGAUAUUAGAAAGAACACCAGUGGCGAAGGCGGCUCACUGGUCCGGUACUGACGCUGAGGUGCGAAAGCGUGGGGAGCAAACAGG